rnacentral:rRNA from 1 species
UACGGAGGGGGCUAGCGUUGUUCGGAAUUACUGGGCGUAAAGCGCGCGUAGGCGGCUUUGUAAGUCAGAGGUGAAAGCCUGGAGCUCAACUCCAGAACUGCCUUUGAAACUACAUCGCUAGAAUCAUGGAGAGGUUAGUGGAAUUCCGAGUGUAGAGGUGAAAUUCGUAGAUAUUCGGAAGAACACCAGUGGCGAAGGCGACUUACUGGACACAUAUUGACGCUGAGGUGCGAAAGCGUGGGGAGCAAACAGG